GGACGCAACUGAAAUAGUUGCAUCAUGAAAACCUAAUAGUAGCACCGUGUCUCUCGCGCUGUUUAUAACAUCCAUUUAUUUGUUAUUUAUAAGUAGUGUAGUUUUCAUUUCAUCACAAUGGGAGAAGGCUCAAUAAAAGGACAAAGUGAUAAUUUGCCUAGAAUUGAUACAUUCUACAGUGCGUAGUGAUGUUUUUUUUUCAAAUCACUCCAAUGUUAGUGCUGACAAACGAGAUGAACUUAUCAGGUGUCGUGUCGCUUCGAGAAUAUUCCUAUCGGCUUCCGAAGACUUCCAUUGGGAUAUAUAAGCACUACCAACAGGCAGAUGGGGCUAAUCUAGUUGAAAGUGCGAUGUGACCCAAUGAGAGACGGCAUCCAACGCCAUGAAGGUACGAGAAUAAAGCGACUGUCAGCAAGAAACAAAUGGAUAACAUGGCAAAGAGAAGAGGAAAAAGAAAAAAAAAGGGAGAGUGGAUUAUGGUUAAUUAUUCCAGGCUCAAAUUGUCGAUACAACCCGUUCAUGUGGAUUUACUGCGUGAAGAAAAGGGAUUGCUGAAGGAAAAGCAUCUGUUUUUCCUUCAGCAAUCUGAAGAAACAUGCAUUUCAAUGAAUUUAUUUUAAAAUUACAGGUCAAAACAUUGAAGCUGUGCUUAGAAAAAAUUUGGUUUUUUUCCCCAAAAUGGAAUUACAUAGUAGCAUUUCAAAAAAGCACUGCUUUCAAAAACCAGAACAAUGAUCUACUCAUCUCCUAAAUGUGCGCCUACAAUUAACCCACCGAAGUUUGGACUGAAAAGGAUCAAUUUUAAUCUGGGCACAGGGAGGAUUUCAUUAUGAAGGCACCCGCCGAGAUCCGGGAAGCUUAUUUACUAUUUAAUGUAAUCAUUCCAGAAACUACGUAUAUACACCAUACUCCUUA